rnacentral:rRNA from 1 species
UUAAAAGUCUGGCCUGCCCAAUGAGUUUUGAAUGGCUGCAGUAUUUUAACUGUACAAAGGUAGCAUAAUCAUUAGUUUUUUAAUUAAAAGCUGGAAUGAAAGGUUUGAUGAAAGAAAAAUUGUCUCAAUUUAAUUUAUAGAAUUUUAUUUUUAAGUUAAAAAGCUUAAAUUUAUUUAAAAGACGAGAAGACCCUAUAGAGUUUAAUAUUAAUUAUUAAUUUUAAAAGAGUUGGUUUAUUUGUAUUUAAAUUAAUUAAAUAUUUUAUUGGGGCGAUAAAAAAAUUUGAGUAACUUUUUUUAAAAUAAUUCAUUAAUUAAUGUCUUUAUGAUCCUAAAACUAGAUUAUAAGAAUAAAUUACCUUAGGGAUAACAGCGUAAUUUUUUUUUAGAGUUCAUAUUAAAAAAAAAGAUUGCGACCUCGAUGUUGGAUUAAAAUUAAAUUUUGGUGAAGAAGCUAAAAUUUUAGGUCUGUUCGACCUUUAAAAUUUUACA